GAGGGGAUAGCUCAGUGGUAGAGUGUGUGCUUACCAUGCAUAAGGCCCUGGGUUCAAUCCCCAGUACCUCCU
rnacentral:tRNA from 1 species